GCAUGCGGAUGCUUUACCAUGCAGUCGAACGGCAGCGCGAGAGAGCUUGCUCUCUUGGCGGCGAGUGGCGGACGGGUGAGUAAUAUAUCGGAACGUGCCCAGUAGCGGGGGAUAACUACUCGAAAGAGUGGCUAAUACCGCAUACGCCCUACGGGGGAAAGGGGGGGAUCGCAAGACCUCUCACUAUUGGAGCGGCCGAUAUCGGAUUAGCUAGUUGGUGGGGUAAAGGCUCACCAAGGCAACGAUCCGUAGCUGGUUUGAGAGGACGACCAGCCACACUGGGACUGAGACACGGCCCAGACUCCUACGGGAGGCAGCAGUGGGGAAUUUUGGACAAUGGGGGAAACCCUGAUCCAGCCAUCCCGCGUGUAUGAUGAAGGCCUUCGGGUUGUAAAGUACUUUUGGCAGAGAAGAAAAGGUACCUCCUAAUACGAGGUACUGCUGACGGUAUCUGCAGAAUAAGCACCGGCUAACUACGUGCCAGCAGCCGCGGUAAUACGUAGGGUGCAAGCGUUAAUCGGAAUUACUGGGCGUAAAGCGUGUGUAGGCGGUUCGGAAAGAAAGAUGUGAAAUCCCAGGGCUCAACCUUGGAACUGCAUUUUUAACUGCCGAGCUAGAGUAUGUCAGAGGGGGGUAGAAUUCCACGUGUAGCAGUGAAAUGCGUAGAUAUGUGGAGGAAUACCGAUGGCGAAGGCAGCCCCCUGGGAUAAUACUGACGCUCAGACACGAAAGCGUGGGGAGCAAACGGGAUUAGAUACCCUGGUAGUCCACGCCCUAAACGAUGUCAACUAGCUGUUGGGGCCGUUAGGCCUUAGUAGCGCAGCUAACGCGUGAAGUUGACCGCCUGGGGAGUACGGUCGCAAGAUUAAAACUCAAAGGAAUUGACGGGGACCCGCACAAGCGGGGGAUGAUGUGGAUUAAUUCGAUGCACCGCGAAAAACCUUACCUACCCUUGACUUGUCUGGAAAA
rnacentral:rRNA from 1 species